rnacentral:rRNA from 1 species
GAUGAACGCUGGCGGCGUGCCUAAUACAUGCAAGUCGAGCGAACAGACGAGGAGCUUGCUCCUCUGACGUUAGCGGCGGACGGGUGAGUAACACGUGGAUAACCUACCUAUAAGACUGGGAUAACUUCGGGAAACCGGAGCUAAUACCGGAUAAUAUAUUGAACCGCAUGGUUCAAUAGUGAAAGACGGUUUUGCUGUCACUUAUAGAUGGAUCCGCGCCGCAUUAGCUAGUUGGUAAGGUAACGGCUUACCAAGGCAACGAUGCGUAGCCGACCUGAGAGGGUGAUCGGCCACACUGGAACUGAGACACGGUCCAGACUCCUACGGGAGGCAGCAGUAGGGAAUCUUCCGCAAUGGGCGAAAGCCUGACGGAGCAACGCCGCGUGAAUGAUGAAGGUCUUCGGAUCGUAAAACUCUGUUAUUAGGGAAGAACAAAUGUGUAAGUAUCUAUGCACGUCUUGACGGUACCUAAUCAGAAAGCCACGGCUAACUACGUG